ACCCCCUUAGUGGGAGAGUUGCCACCAGAUCCCAUAAGAACUUGGAGUUAAGCAUGCUCGGGUGGGAGUAGUCCCCAGAUGGGUGACCUCCCUGGGAAGUCCCCGGGUACGUGUGC
rnacentral:rRNA from 1 species